AGAUAUGAAAGUGGUCUGGUUGGAACAUCUCACUCGUGAUCACCAAUAUUCGUUUGGUUGAUCUGGCUGGCUAGGCAGUUGUCACUCAUCCCUCCUGACACUCAGAGAGGACAACCUUCUCCAACAGAGGAGAUUUUCUUCCAUCAAGAGUAUGUGAGUAGCUUGUGCUUCCUUGCUGGGCCCUCCAGACAAGUUGUCAAGGUCUAUCUGUAGGAUGCUGCAGGGUAGUCACGCUUCCAAGACUCCAGACCCCUCCAAAUGAGGUGCUGCACAUGCCAAUCUUCUUUU
rnacentral:snRNA from 1 species